UACGUAGGGGGCAAGCGUUGUCCGGAUUCAUUGGGCGUAAAGAGCGUGUAGGCGGCCUGAAAGGUCAGCUGUGAAAACUCGAGGCUCAACCUCGAGACGUCGGUUGAAACCAUCUGGCUAGAGUCCGGAAGAGGAGUGUGGAAUUCCCGGUGUAGCGGUGAAAUGCGCAGAUAUCGGGAAGAACACCCGUGGCGAAGGCGGCACUCUGGGACGGUACUGACGCUGAGACGCGAAAGCGUGGGAGCGAACAGG
rnacentral:rRNA from 1 species